AUUGAACGCUGGCGGCAUGCUUUACACAUGCAAGUCGAACGGCAGCGCGGGCUUCGGCCUGGCGGCGAGUGGCGAACGGGUGAGUAAUGCAUCGGAACGUGCCCAGCAGUGGGGGAUAGCCCGGCGAAAGCCGGAUUAAUACCGCAUACGACCUGAGGGUGAAAGCGGGGGACCGAAAGGCCUCGCGCUAUUGGAGCGGCCGAUGUCGGAUUAGCUAGUUGGUGGGGUAAAGGCUUACCAAGGCGACCAUCCGUAGCUGGUCUGAGAGGACGACCAGCCACACUGGGACUGGGACACGGCCCAGACUCCUACGGGAGGCAGCAGUGGGGAAUUUUGGACAAUGGGGGCAACCCUGAUCCAGCCAUGCCGCGUGCGGGAAGAAGGCCUUCGGGUUGUAAAGCGCUUUUGUUCGGGAAGAAAUGCUCUGGGCUAAUACCCCGGGGGGAUGACGGUACCGGAAGAAUAAGCACCGGCUAACUACGUG
rnacentral:rRNA from 1 species